UAGAGUUUGAUCAUGGCUCAGAUUGAACGCUGGCGGCAGGCCUAACACAUGCAAGUCGAGCGGAAACGAUGGAAGCUUGCUUCCAGGCGUCGAGCGGCGGACGGGUGAGUAAUGCAUAGGAAUCUGCCCGAUAGUGGGGGAUAACCUGGGGAAACCCAGGCUAAUACCGCAUACGUCCUACGGGAGAAAGCAGGGGAUCUUCGGACCUUGCGCUAUCGGAUGAGCCUAUGUCGGAUUAGCUAGUUGGUGAGGUAAUGGCUCACCAAGGCUGCGAUCCGUAGCUGGUCUGAGAGGAUGAUCAGCCACAUCGGGACUGAGACACGGCCCGAACUCCUACGGGAGGCAGCAGUGGGGAAUAUUGGACAAUGGGCGAAAGCCUGAUCCAGCCAUGCCGCGUGUGUGAAGAAGGCUUUCGGGUUGUAAAGCACUUUCAGUGGGGAAGAAAUCCUCGGGGCCAAUACCCUCGAGGGAGGACAUCACCCACAGAAGAAGCACCGGCUAACUCCGUGCCAGCAGCCGCGGUAAUACGGAGGGUGCGAGCGUUAAUCGGAAUUACUGGGCGUAAAGCGCGCGUAGGCGGCGUGAUAAGCCGGUUGUGAAAGCCCCGGGCUCAACCUGGGAACGGCAUCCGGAACUGUCAGGCUAGAGUGCAGGAGAGGAAGGUAGAAUUCCCGGUGUAGCGKUGAAAUGCGUAGAGAUCGGGAGGAAUACCAGUGGCGAAGGCGGCCUUCUGGACUGACACUGACGCUGAGGUGCGAAAGCGUGGGUAGCAAACAGGAUUAGAUACCCUGGUAGUCCACGCCGUAAACGAUGUCGACUAGCCGUUGGGGUCCUUGUGACCUUUGUGGCSCAGUUAACGCGAUAAGUCGACCGCCUGGGGAGUACGGCCGCAAGGUUAAAAYUCAAAUGAAUUGACGGGGGCCCGCMCAAGCGGUGGAGCAUGUGGUUUAAUUCGAUGCAACGCGAAGACCCUUACCUACUCUUGACWUCGUGCGAACUUUCCAGAGAUGGAUUGGUGCCUUCGGGAACGCACAGACAGGUGCUGCAUGGCCGUCGUCAGCUCGUGUUGUGAAAUGUUGGGUUAAGUCCCGUAMCGAGCGCAACCCUUGUCCCUAUUUGCCAGCGAUUCGGUCGGGAACUCUAGGGAGACUGCCGGUGACAAACCGGAGGAAGGUGGGGACGACGUCAGGUCAUCAUGGCCCUUACGAGUAGGGCUACACACGUGCUACAAUGGCCGGUACAAAGGGUUGCGAAGCCGCGAGGUGGAGCUAAUCCCGAAAAGCCGGUCUCAGUCCGGAUCGGAGUCUGCAACUCGACUCCGUGAAGUCGGAAUCGCUAGUAAUCGUGAAUCAGAAUGUCACGGUGAAUACGUUCCCGGGCCUUGUACACACCGCCCGUCACACCAUGGGAGUGGACUGCACCAGAAGGGUUAGCCUAACU
rnacentral:rRNA from 1 species